rnacentral:rRNA from 1 species
UACGUAGGGUGCAAGCGUUGUCCGGAAUUAUUGGGCGUAAAGAGCUCGUAGGCGGUCUGUCGCGUCGGCUGUGAAAUCCCGAGGCUCAACCUCGGGUCUGCAGUCGAUACGGGCAAACUAGAGUAUUGCAGGGGAGACUGGAAUUCCUGGUGUAGCGGUGAAAUGCGCAGAUAUCAGGAGGAACACCGGUGGCGAAGGCGGGUCUCUGGGCAGUAAACUGGCGCUGAGGAACGAAAGCGUGGGUAGCGAACAGG